UUCGGUGGUCAUAGCGUUAGGGAAACGCCCGGUUACAUUCCGAACCCGGAAGCUAAGCCUUUCAGCGCCGAUGGUACUGCAUGGGGGACCGUGUGGG
rfam:Streptomyces sp. NRRL B-1568 contig-312, whole genome shotgun sequence.